GAAGAACAGAGCAUUCGAGGAGUCCAUGAAGGUGCUUUGAAGCUGGCAGCAAUGGAAGCUUCCCUUUCAAUUGCUUCUAAAAUAUCUGCACUGAAUAUAUGCACUGAAUAUCUGCUUUGCCAGACCGCUGCUUUACUGAGCAGUGGUUACUGGGCAGCCUCUGCCACUCAAGUGUUUGUGAUGAAGGCUUCUUUUUGACAGCUACAGUUUCUAAAAGGGACAAAUUAUGCGUCCAGUCCUGCAAGCCUGCCUGCAAUGAACGCCUUUAGAAAUCAGUGGAGCUUUCACAUGGCAGAUGGCUCCCCAGAAUUGAGCUCUACAUAAUUUUGCGAUAUUUUAGCUGGGGAUAUUUUAGUGGCUUUUUCCCUAUGCAUGACAGCAUGAUUUGCUGGCUGCUAGAAAAUGUCAUC
rnacentral:lncRNA from 1 species